rnacentral:misc_RNA from 1 species
UUGAUUUCUUGUACACCCGACACAAACUGAACUCUUGCCUUAGCCUUGGAUGUUCACCAGUAGUUGAAGAGAAUGCUUCUCCUUCUAUUGCUUUGUAUUCAUUAAUUUUCCAAUCGGUUUUUCGUCCAAUUGGAGCCCUUCCGUUGUAGAAAACCAUGGUUCUUUUCACACCUAUACAUCGAUUGUUGGAAGAGUAAACAUAACCAGGAGAACCAGUAGCUUUCCAGUACCCAGCAGUCGUGAGUCGCUUUGGCCUCCCUCCACGGGCCUCGCUUUCUUGUCUUGGGAUAAAGAAAAACCAUUGUUCAGGAUCUCUAUGGGAGUACUCUCCAGCGUAUUGUGGAAGGUCCCAUGGACUGUACUCAUAUAAAUCAAGGACAGGUAUAACACGACCCAUGACCCGAUUCAAGUCCUCUCUGUUCCCUUCUAGCUUAUGAUGCAGAUAAAACGAAACCAGCUCUUCUUCUGUAGGGUAAAAACGUAUCCCAGGUGCUAAAUCCUCCAUCUUGAUCGCUCUAUAUAUUCAAGAUUAUACUCGCAAAUUAAAUGGCAAGAACAGCUUAUAGCUUAAUAAGCAGC